CAGGAAUAGUGUCUCAGCGUUUCCCCGUGGCAUCUAUGGUACAUUUAAAGCAGCCAUAAUGCCUCGAGGAUAGCCUGUCAGUUGCCGAGAUGAGUUGCUUGCCAGGUGUCCAUGGGGGAAGAGUUGGUCCUUUGCAACUGUCUGGCCAGUCUAUACAGUAGUUGAAGGGGACUCCAACACAGUGAUAUUAAUCAAGGAAGAAAGUUAAAGUGGCUGCUUUCUAACUGUGGCAGAGAAACAGCAGAAAAUGACCUUCUCGUGAAAAAUGGCUUCCACAUGUAGGUUUAAGCGCUGGGAUAAAAAUAGUUGGGGGCUGGUCGUGCAGCUCAGUUAGCAGAGUGAUUUUUGACACGGAAGGACCUUUUCAUCGUUCUCCUCCCAUUCUUGGUGACAAGAAGUAACAAGUGCAAUACAGACUAAAACAUCUCGUCUAUUCCAAGUUCAACCAUGAAGGCACCAAGAUUGAGUGAACAGCAGCACGGUCAUCUGCUGCCCUCUGCUGACGGAAUGUGAACAUGCGGUAAACACAUUGUCAUGCGGAAAAGCCGAGUGUAGUUUUAGCAGCAAAAAACGUUAA